rnacentral:pre_miRNA from 1 species
AAUACAUUACGCUGUUGACUUUUUCUCACAUGUUUGACCAUUCGUCUUAUUCAAAAAAUUUACGUAAUUAUAAUUUAUUUUUGUUAUGAGUUGUUUUAUCACUCAUAGUACUUUAAGUGUGAUUUAUAUCUUAUACAUUUGCAUAAAAUUUCUAAAUAAGACGAAUGGUCAAACAUGUGAAAAAAAAUCAACGGCGUCAUCUAUU